UAGGGAAUCUUCGGCAAUGGGGGCAACCCUGACCGAGCAACGCCGCGUGAGUGAAGAAGGUUUUCGGAUCGUAAAGCUCUGUUGUAAGAGAAGAACGUGUGUGAGAGUGGAAAGUUCACACAGUGACGGUAACUUACCAGAAAGGGACGGCUAACUACGUGCCAGCAGCCGCGGUAAUACGUAGGUCCAGAGCGUUGUCCGGAUUUAUUGGGCGUAAAGCGAGCGCAGGCGGUUUAAUAAGUCUGAAGUUAAAUGAAGUGGCUUAACAAUUGUUCGCUUUGGAAACUGUUAAACUUGAGUGCAGAAGGGGAGAGUGGAAUUCCAUGUGUAGCGGUGAAAUGCGUAGAUAUAUGGAGGAACACCGGUGGCGAAAGCGGCUCUCUGGUCUGUAACUGACGGUGAGGCUCGAAAGCGUGGGGAGCAAACAGG
rnacentral:rRNA from 1 species